UAAGUGCCUAUGAUGGUUAUAAAUAUACUUUGGGCAAAUAGCAAUUACUAUGAAAAGACAUCAACUGGAGGCUCACUUU